rnacentral:rRNA from 1 species
CAUAUCAAUAAGCGGAGGAAAAGAAACCAACAGGGAUUGCCCUAGUAACGGCGAGUGAAGCGGCAACAGCUCAAAUUUGAAAUCUGGCCUUCGGGUCCGAGUUGUAAUUUGUAGAGGAUGCUUUUGGUGAGGUGCCUUCCGAGUUCCCUGGAACGGGACGCCAUAGAGGGUGAGAGCCCCGUCUGGUUGGACACCGAUCCUCUGUAAAGCUCCUUCGACGAGUCGAGUAGUUUGGGAAUGCUGCUCUAAAUGGGAGGUAUAUGUCUUCUAAAGCUAAAUAUUGGCCAGAGACCGAUAGCGCACAAGUAGAGUGAUCGAAAGAUGAAAAGCACUUUGAAAAGAGAGUUAAAAAGUACGUGAAAUUGUUGAAAGGGAAGCGCUCAUGACCAGACUUGGGCUUGGUUGAUCAUCCAGGGUUCUCCCUGGUGCACUCUUCCAGUUCAGGCCAGCAUCAGUUCGCUGUGGGGGAUAAAGGCUUUGGGAAUGUGGCUCCCUCGGGAGUGUUAUAGCCCAUUGUGUAAUACCCUGUGGUGGACUGAGGUUCGCGCAUUCGCAAGGAUGCUGGCGUAAUGGUCAUCAGCGACCCGUCUUGAAACACGGACCAAGGAGUCGUCUUCGUAUGCGAGUGUUCGGGUGUUAAACCCCUACGCGUAAUGAAAGUGAACGCAGGUGAGAGCUUCGGCGCAUCAUCGACCGAUCCUGAUGUUCUCGGAUGGAUUUGAGUAAGAGCAUACGGGGCCGGACCCGAAAGAAGGUGAACUAUGCCUGUAUAGGGUGAAGCCAGAGGAAACUCUGGUGGAGGCUCGCAGCGGUUCUGACGUGCAAAUCGAUCGUCAAAUAUGGGCAUGGGGGCGAAAGACUAAU